GGAGCUCAAGUUCCAAUUGGUCCGAAAUCUAUCCACCAUACUUGCUUAGAUUUCCUCUGCAGAUUUCAUUAUCCAACAUGGCUCCUCUCAAACUCACCUUUUAGAUACUCUCACUGCCUUCAAAACACACCCAUCUGUCCUUAUUUAUUUUAAUCACCAAAAGAUAAACAAAUAUGCUUGCUGCAGACAUGGCUGCUACUAGUGGUGCUGUCCUAAAUGGAUUGGGAUCUUCCUUCUUGUGUGGA
rnacentral:misc_RNA from 1 species